UUCACAACGAAACCACCAGGGAAAAAAAGAGUAGGACAGGGAGCUGUUUGAUGAAACUGAAAGCGAUGCAAACGCCGCCGACCCACACCAGAUUCUUCAACAGAAAGAGCUUUAUAGCUGAGAUACAUCCCUGAGGAAGAAGACAGACAGUUUAACCGUUUGUCCUCAGAAACGUGCAGGAAUCUGGCACGGCUUCAUGGUUUCCCCAGCCCACACUUCUGGACCAGUCGGUCUUAAACUCUUUCUCCAGCAUUUGGCUCCUGAGCAUCUGCAGGAAACCUGGUCCGACUCCACAGUCUGGAAAAGACUUGAGGCCUCC